CCCUCCCAAGGCAAGUUCAACUGGGUUCUUUGGCAGCCGAAGUCUACACGGACCCUGCAGGGAGCGGUGGAGAAAAGUUAGAUGUCUGAAGUGUUUUUCAUUGGACCAAAAUCAAGGUGUUGGCUGGGCUACCUUCCCUUCUGGAGACUCUAAGGAAGAAUCCAUUUCCUUGUCUUUUCCAGAUCCUAGAGGCUACCUGCAUUCCUUGGCUUUUAUCCCCAAUCUUCCAUCUUCGGAGCCAGCAACACACCUUUUUCUUCCUUCCAUGAUAUAGAUAUAUUGAUCAUGAGGAGAGGGCUCACCCCUCACCCGGAGAAGUAGUUGGGGAAGCAAUAUGCGGAAACAAAGCCAUGAAUCUGACAAGAAAUGUACUUAAGAUUGUAUAUAUGGAGAUGAAUACCCAUUGUCCUUUGCACUUUCUGGAUGAUAAAUUAGAAAAGAAAAAUCCAAAGAAUGAAGUUGUGCUAUUUGUCCUCACUUCUGAUUUGGGAAACUAGAGGAAAUUAAGAUGGGAAAAGACCAUGUGAGGACACAGUGAGAAGGAGACCAUAUGCAAAGCAGGAAGGAAGAUCUCACUGGAACCAAAAACCAGCCCUGCUGGCACCCUGAUCUUGGACUUCUAGCCUUUCUCAGAACUGUGAGAAAAUAAAUUUCUGAUGUUUCAGCCACUCA
rnacentral:lncRNA from 1 species